rnacentral:tRNA from 1 species
GGGGAUUUAGCUCAGCGGUAGAGCGCUUGUCUAGCAAGCGCAAGGCCCUGGGUUCAGUCCCCA